UACGGAGGGUGCAAGCGUUAUCCGGAUUCACUGGGUUUAAAGGGUGCGUAGGUGGGCAGGUAAGUCCGUGGUGAAAUCUCUGAGCUUAACUCAGAAACUGCCGUGGAUACUAUUUGUCUUGAAUAUUGUGGAGGUGAGCGGAAUAUGUCAUGUAGCGGUGAAAUGCUUAGAUAUGACAUAGAACACCAAUUUGCGAAGGCAGCUCACUACACAAUUAUUUGACGCUGAGGCACGAAAGCGUGGGGGAUCAAAACAGG
rnacentral:rRNA from 1 species